rnacentral:tRNA from 6 species
GCCGCCGUAGCUCAGCGGGAGAGCGCCCGGCUGAAGACCGGGCGGUCCGGGGUUCGAAUCCCCGCGGCGGCACCA